ACAAAGUCACCAGAGGUGUCUAUUUUUCCAGCGCAUCGACAUGCAAUACUAUUUCACGCAGUGACACGUUCGUGUUAAUUUUCGUAUAUCAAAUUUGUCGUAAUAAAGCGUCUAAGUCUAAUUUUAAGAACUCGACGUCAUUUGUUUGUGCAAAUGUGUUUGUGGAUUACUUUCUUUACUGGGAGACCCAGAAUCAUGGUCGCUGAUGAACUCUUUAUAUGAUGUAAAAGGAAAAUGGAUUUAUAACACGUCAAAUAUUAUUCAUAUUUUUUAUUAAAAAAAUAAAAUUUUCAAAACCGAAAGACAAAGGGCUACGAACCUAAGAUUAAUUGUUAUAAAUUAAGAUUUAAAACCGUUAAUAAAUAAACAUGUUAAAAUUUAAAAAAA